ensembl:lncRNA
GACAGUGUGCCCCAGCUGUUUCUCACCAGAUGCUGGUACCGCUUCCUGCUGCACCUUGACGGGUCUGCCGCUGGGCACCCUCCGGUCACAGCCACCUGCUGCUGUCAGCCUCACUGCCGCCCCCUGGCCUCGGGCUGGGUGGUCCCACAGUGGAGAAAGUCUUUCCUCCUAAGUAUGCAAAGACAGGACCUAGAAUGACUUGAGGUCCCUCCAGGCGAGUUCUGAGGGGUCUUUAUAAAGCUCUCUUGCUGCCGGCUCCCAGUUGGCUCCAAGCUGCAAAAGCAAAGAGGUACCUGGUGCUUCUUAGGUGCCAGGAGGCACUAUCCUAAGCGUGGUGCGUGUAUGACCCCGUUCAUCUCCACGGCAGCUCAUCUCCGUGUGCUGUGAUCCUCACUUUACAGAUGAGGAAACUAAGGCCCAGAGGGAUUGGUCACCGGCCCACGAGCACGCAGCAAACACAGAGUGGGAUCCGAAUCCAGGCUCCCAGACUCCCGAGUCCCUUCGUCUCUACCCUCUACUCUUUCCUCCUCCCCAGCAAGCUCCAGGCGAUUCCAGACCUUCCGGCUUAGGCUCAACUCCUGAAAGGCCCCCAGAUGGAUCAGGAGGUUCCCGUAUAAGCCAGGACUGAUCUCCUUUAAAAGACCCCAUUUCCUUUGACAGAAACUCCACGUGGCCUUGGCACACAAAGGGUAGCCUUCCUCUUUCAGCUUCCCAAAGAUAUCAGUGCCCCAGGAGGAUGCCCGGCGAGGGCUAAGUGCACUUCCCGAGAUCUGGGCUCUGCAGGCAGAGCCGCCCCAGCUGCUUAUAUUUCUUUCCUGUUUUUAAAGGGCAAAGGGGCUGUGGGCUCACCGUGGUCCGCCGCCUUCCCCCUGCUGCUGCCCUGAACUGCUGAGGAAACGAGAACACACUCGACUCUGCCAGAACCAGCAGGUUCAUGGAGAGGAGAGUGCAACUCCUGUGUACGAAAGACAGGUUUCUCUAAGUCUGGGAACAAGAAGCCUGCUGGAAAGAACCCCAGCCGCGGCGUCUGUAUUAUAAAAUAUUAACGUCAAUCUGCGGUCCUGUUGCCGUCCAUUGUCCAUCGUCCAGAGGAAAAGUGUGGCAAAAGCACAGACCUGCCGAAAGCCUUAUCUGCUUGUCUUACCCGACAGAGCCUCUCAUCACAGCUCAAGCCUGUGUAGUCUGGUGGGUUCAUGGACGCAGGUCCACAGCGUUUUCUAUGACAAUGCGCAUGUCAUUGUGUGUGUGUGAGACGUGAUGUGUUUCUCGUAUUUGCUGACUAAAGCGUCUGCCUGGUGAUAAUUGUGCCAGCUUUUGGGUGGCAUAAAGUUCCACUGUUUUUACUUUGUAAUCCAGGUAUUGACUUUGAUUUAACUGAGGGAAGACGUAACCAGGCUGGGGAAGUUUUCACCACACAAAACUUUCAAUCUUAAUACAUUCUUUCAAGGUUAGAAGAAAAGACUGUAGAGUCAGAAAAAUAGCUUCCCUCCACCACCCAUAAGGACUCAGGAUUGACACUUAAGUGAGUUCUUUAGUUGUCUUUAUGCUUGAAAAUUAACUUGACUAGAUAGGCUCAUGCUUUGCUCCCUGCAGAACCUUUUAGAUACAUGGUCUUCCGGCACCGGAUUUUACCGUGGUGAGAUCUGAGGAUAGUCUGACUUUUUCUGUAGUAUUAAAUGAUUAUUUCUUGUCAUAAGAAAGGGCAGAAGAUUCUGUCUUUAUCCUUGAAAUUAAAAAAAUGAGCUAUGUCUUGAUGCCAGUAGUUUCUCAGUUAUUCUCCACGUAGGUAGUCUGCGUUCAGUCUGUACAUCACUUUGUUUGUUUGUUUGUUUAUGGCUACUCCUGUGGCAUUUGGAAGUUCCUGGGCCAGGGAUCAAAUCCGAGCUGCAGCUGCAACAAUGCCAGAUCCUUGACCUCCUGUGCCACAGUGGGAGAGAAGUGUUUGUUUUGGGGAGAAGUUUUCCUAUAUGAUGUAAGUUUUCCUAUGUGGUAUUUCUGAAUACUUUUUCUUUUUCCCCACUUUCUGGGUUCUUAAUUGUUGGGACACCACUUGAGUUAUGUUGGAUCUUCUUUAUCUCUCAUAUAAUCAUCCCUCUGUAACUGCUUUAACUCCUUUGCCGUUUUUAUUCCUCGAACAGACCCCAGGUUCUUCCUUUGUGUCAUUAGGAUAAGAUUUAAGCUUGUCUACCAUGUUUCUUGCUCUUUCUAAAUGCUGUUGGGUCCAAAAGAGUAUUGUGGGUCCACAGCUUCUUGUGGUCUUUGUUCUUUCUUUUCAUCCCACGGUCUCUUUUAUCCUGUUAACACUCAGGCACAAUUUUACUGAAUUUGUGUUCUGUGAGUCAGAGCACUUGGGUUCCUUGGGCUUUUCUCUGGAUUGGAUGAGUUCCUUUGACUGCUAUCUGUUUUGUUUGUUUGUUUUUUGUCUUUUUGCCUUUUCUAGGGCUGCUCCCAUGGCACAUGGAGGUUUCCAGGGUAGGGGUCCAAUUGGAGCUGUAGCCACUGGCCUACACCAGAGCCACAGCAACGCGGGAUCCGAGCCACGUCUGCGACCUACACCACAGCUCACGGCAACGCCAGACCCCAGACCCUUAACCCACCGAGCGAGGCCAGGGAUCGAACCCUCAAUCUCGGAUGUGUUUCCACUGUGCCACGACGGGAACUCCCUAUCUGUUCUUGAUGUUUGUUCAUUCUAUCUCUUUUAUCUCUUGUUUGAAGUUGUACACUGAAUGAGCAUGCCAUUUCCAUUUAUCUUGCUUAUGUUUAGUCUCAGAUUUUUAAAUUUUACCCUUUUUCUCUGCCUUUGAACUGCAUCUCGAGAGCUGUAUUUGUUUUCACCCAUUUUUCUGUGUCCUGCUUGUGUGGCUAUGAGAGGAAAGAAGAGGUGAGAUGGGGAGAAUGCCACCCCCCUGGAGGAUUUGGCCUCAUCUCUGCUUCCUGAAACCCUCGUCACUCAUCUGUGCAGAGCCCUUCCGCCUCGUGGGCUUUGGCCUUUCCAUCCCAUCUCGGCCGUUGUCCGGGAAGGCAGGAGACCCCAGUGGCCUUAUUGCCUCAAGCCAGGCUUGUUACAAAUGAAUUUACAGUAUGCCGGGCGCUGCGACCAGCACGUUCCUUUUUUUCCCCCUGUUAAGUCCUUUUGACAACAUAUUCAAGGAGGUACUAUUGACUAUCCCAUUUUUUAGGUGAGGAAGCUGAAGUUAAAUGAGAUUUACUCAGUUUUUGUCCAUUGAUCCAUUUCUGGUAUUACACAACACUAUUUAAAUUGUUGUAUCUUAUGUGAGUAAAUAUGCUAGUACAUUUUCUGUAAAAUAUACUGUAACAUUCAAUGCAGUGUAAGAGUAUAUUUAACAUUAUGUUAUAUAUGCUAUACGCUAAUGUGUGAUCGAUUUACAAAUUAAUGCAUACUAUGGUAAUUUCCUUCCAAUGCUAGAUUUUUUUUGGUCUGUUUCAAAUUAUUAUAUUUUAAUUUAAUUUAAUUUAAUUUUUGCUUUUUAGGGCUACACUUGCAGCACAUGGAGGUUCCCAGGCUGGGGGUCGAAUCAGAACUACAGCUGCCAGCCUACGCCAUAGCCACAGCAAUGCCAGAUCCAGGCCGUGUCUGCAACCUGCACCACAGCUCAUGGCAUCACUGGAUCCUUAACCCACUGAGCAAGGCCAGGGAUGGAACCUGCAACCUCAUGGUUCCUAGUCAGAUUCGUUUCCGUUUCCGCUGCAUCACAACGGGAACUCCUCAAAUUAUUAUAUUUUUAGAAUACAUUCUAGAAUCAUUGACUUAUAAAAAUUCCUCCGCCAUUUUCAUCAGAGCUGCAUUAGCUUACAGGAUAAUUUUGAGAAUCAAUGUAUUUUUCCAUACUGAGUAUUCCAGUUAAGGCCACAGUAUACCUCUUCAUUUAUUCAGUUAAUCUUGUGUACAUUAUGCACUAAUCUUAAAACUCCUAGGUAUUUAAUUUAAUUAAUUAAUUAAUUAAUUUUUUUUGGGUCUUUUUGCCUUUUCUAGGGCCACUCCCACGGCAUAUGGAGGUUCCCAGUCCAGGGUUCUAAUCGGAGCUGCAGCUGCCAGCCUACGCCAGAGCCACAGCAGUGCGGGAUCUGAGCUGCGUCUGCAACUUGCACCACAGCUCACAGCAAUGCCAGAUCCUUAACCCACUGAGCGAGGCCAGGGAUCGAACCCGCAACCUCAUGGUUCCUAGUCGGAUUCAUUAACCACUGCGCCGCAACAAGAUCUCCUAGGUAUUUUAUAUUUUUAUGUUAGCCUUUCUUCUAUUAUAUUCUAGUUGUUGUAUUGUUGCUAUAUAGAAACAUUCAUAUAUAAUAUUCUCUCUCAUUUUUAUAAUCAUGACUCGUAUGCUUCUCUUGAGUUUUCCAGGUAGAUAGCAGUUCUGUCUCUUCUUUUCCAGCAAAUGCAAUUCUUACUCUCUUCUUUUUCAUCUGGUUGCCUUGGCUAGCUCUUCCAGAACAAGGUGAAGUUGGCCCAUGGGUCACCUUGUCACCCUGAGCACACCAUCACCCAGCCUUGCUGGCUCCAGCCCCGAGACGCUCUGCAGAUGAGCCGGGGUGGGCUGCUCUCAUAUGGGCUCGGCUGGUGUGGCUCCAGGCUGCAAGCUGAAUCCAGGCACUGAAUUUUAUUUACUCUUGGUUUACUUUGUGUUUAUAUUCAGAAGUGGGUGCCUCUCAGCCUUUCCGUGUAAUGACGGACAUUUAAGCCAACAGGAGUCUUUUGUUAUUGGGAACGCAAAGCCUCUGAUGGACUUGUGCUCGAGAGUCAGCAUUAAACUCCUAUCAACACAGCCUGGCCAUCUUGUGUAGACCUCAGCAGCCCCGUGCUGUCCCUCUGUGGUCCUUUCCAUGUUCUCUUGGAACGAUUUAAGCGACACCACUGCCUCCCUUUCCUCCGAGGGCUGCAUCCUCCAGUCCAGUGCUCCUCACACGUGUGUGUCCAUUCGGAUCCCCUGGAAAGCUUGGUCAGAUGCAGGUUUGGGUUCCACAGGUCAGGGUGGGGUCUGAGAUCGUACGGUUCUCACCAGCGCCCCGGUGAUGUUGGCCGAGAGAGGCACUGUGAGUAGCAAGGCUUAGACAUAGUAAGAGAGAAGUUUUACUCCAACUUAAAAAAUAAUAGUUGACUGUUGGGGGGGCUUGUGUGUGUGGGGGGGGACAUGAGAGAGAGAAGAUCCUGGGCCAGGUUGAGGUUCUGUCCCUUUUUCUACGUUUCACCAGUCACGUGCUCUCAGAUUUAAUUUUCAAAAUAAAAUCAAACGUCCGAAUGGGUUGCGUAUGCUGGGCAAGCAGGAUCCAAACGAAAAGAUCCUUUAUGAGUAACACGAAUCAUUGCUGGUUUUCCCAGGUGGUUUCUUAUCUUCAGAACAACAGUGUAAGUCAGUAGCUAGAAAGUUAGAACGAAAAAAGAGAUAAUUGACGGACAUGCCCAUGGUCGCGCCUGGAACACAGGUGGCAGUGAGUGUUAGCGAGUGUCAUUUUCCUUCUACUCGGUAAGAGAGGGCAGGGGUAGAGCUGUGCUUUCCAAGCGAGUCUUCUGGACGGAUUGUCACUCCGCCCUUCUCUUGUGGCUCCCACUUGGGUGUUCCGUGGGUGUGGGAAUGCACACUCUCUCACUGACCACACUAUGUACUGAAACUGGCAGAUACAGAAGGAGAGAGAAGUCAGACCAUCCACUUGAGAUUGUUGGCAUUGGCACUGGUUACUCUGCUCCAAGCUGCAAGCAAUAACCACCCUCCCUGCCCGAUUCAGUGUGUUGUGAGCAACAGGGAAAACAUAUUGCGUCCCUUACCAAGCAGGCUUGGGAUAAGGUCUCUCAAGGCUGGUUAUUUAGGUGAAUGGGCAGGUUUCCUGUCUGCUAUUUUCCGUUCCGUCGUGUUGGGGUUCCGGCUCCUUCACCAUCUCGUGGUCUCUUUGGCGCAUCCAGGCGUCAUACCCACCAUGCCGAGAGGAGGAAGACACCCCUUCCCUGAUGUCUGUGUUUCAGUUGGAGAAAACCAUUCCCAGGAGACCCCCGAAGACUCGCGUUCCCCUCUCAGUGGCCGGAACAGAAUCCCAUGCCCCUUUCUAAGCUGACCCGGCUGGUGAAAGGAGUGGGCUUGCCGUGUUUGUGUGCACAGUCCACUCAGGAAUAGCUCCUCAGGCACACAGGGAAGGACGGGGAGCAGCGUGCAGCCAGACUGGAGCCUACAAGCAGGAGCCAUGGGUUUGGGGGCGCUUAGCGGUGUAGACAGAGUUCUAAAUCUGACACAAGCAACCCUGUCUACAAAGCAGAAACAGUCUGACAGACAGAACAGACUCGUGGCUGCCAAGGGGCGGGGCGGGGGGAGGGAGUGGGAUGGACAGGGAGUUGGAUACAAACUAUUCCAUUUAGGAUGGAUAAGCAAUGAGGUCCUGCUGUGCAGCACAGGGAAGUCUAGCUAGUCUCCUGGGAUAGAACAUGAUGGAAGGUGAUAUAAGGAAAGGAAUGAGAGCCCCCCAAAAAAAGGAAUUCCCUUCAUGGCUCAGUGGAAACGAAUCUCACUAGGCACCAUGAGGUUGCAGGUUCUAUCACUGGCCUCGCUCUGUGGGUUAAGGACCCGGCAUUGCUGUGAGCUAUGGUGUAGGUCACAGACACGGCUCAGAUGUGGCAUUGCUGGGGCUGUGGCAUAGGCUGGCAGCUACAGUUCCAA